GACGUAGGGCGCGAGCGUUGUCCGGAUUUAUUGGGCGUAAAGAGCUCGUAGGCGGCUCGUUGCGUCGGCUGUGAAAACCCGCAGCUCAACUGUGGGCUUGCAGCUGAUACGGGCGGGCUGGGAUUCGGUAGGGGAGACUGGAAUUCCUGGUGUAGCGGUGAAGUGCGCAGAUAUCAGGAGGAACACCGGUGGCGAAGGCGGGUCUCUGGGCCGAUACUGACGCUGAGGUGCGAAAGCGUGGGGAGCAAACAGG
rnacentral:rRNA from 1 species